AAAUGCAAGUAUUCGGAAGUACUUCUACUUCAUCAAAGAAAAGGUGAGCUACAAGUGGAAGGACCUCGCUUUCUUUCUGGACCUGGAUGAGUUCGACGACGCAACACUUGAAAACGUCGCCGGCAGGAACCGUGACGACAAGUCUCGCUGCAUGGACAUGUUAAACCACUGGCACCAGAGGCGAGGAGACGACGCUACGAUAGACGUUCUGCUGGAGUGCCUCUCUAAAGCGGGACUACAGGACGUCGUUGAUGGUCUGAAGACUAAUUUUCCGGAGUUAGCAAAGAUGGAGAAAGCGAAGAGUGAUGACAGUUUGUCAGAAUCCAAAGAAGUCACACAGAUGGAGCAAUGAGUGCUGACAGCCGGUCAGAAACGGAAGAUAAACGGCAUCGUUUUGUCGUGACAAGACGUUGGGGGGGGGGGUAUUGCAGUUGUUUUUUAAUCUGCUU